GCGGCCGCGGCUCAGGCCUAGGAGCGCGGGGUGGUAGGGGUCCCCCGGGGAUCAUGUAGGCCUACGCCCCUGGCCAGCACAGGACAGCGCCCAGGUGGGCUUGGAAUGGCUGCAGAGAUAGAGACUCCGCCAGCUCUGUUCAAGUUCCUGCCUGCUACCGCUUGUGCUGUCACCGAGCACCGCUGAAAGUGAGACUGGCUCCAUCCUCCCGGUGUCCACCCUGUGUAGGCAGCUCAGCUCCUGAAGAGUCAUCUCUCAAAACCCCUAUCUACACUGAGUGCUGCACAUGAAGAGGGGAUCUGUGUGAAUAACCAAACUGCAGAGUAAUAACCAGAAGCAGGUCUCCAACUGAAGAGGUGAACAUCGUUUCAGCCUUCUCUUCAGUAGCUGACAAGACUACUGAUUUUGAAUCCAAAAUGCUAUUAUUCCCUUUCACUCUUUUUGAGUGUUUCUCUUACUUGCAGAGUAAGUGUAUUUAUUGCUUCUUACAUUAAAAACAUAACUUAA